GAUGAACGCUAGCGGCAGGCCUAACACAUGCAAGUCGAGGGGUAACAUAGAUUGCUUGCAAUCUGAUGACGACCGGCGCACGGGUGCGUAACGCGUAUAGAAUCUACCUUGUACUGGAGAAUAACCAGAAGAAAUUCUGACUAAUACUCCAUAGUAUGUAUUUAUUUCAUGAUUUAUACAUUAAAGAUUUAUCGGUAUAAGAUGACUAUGCGUCCUAUUAGCUAGAUGGUAAGGUAACGGCUUACCAUGGCAACGAUAGGUAGGGGCCCUGAGAGGGGGAUCCCCCACACUGGUACUGAGACACGGACCAGACUCCUACGGGAGGCAGCAGUGAGGAAUAUUGGACAAUGGAGGCAACUCUGAUCCAGCCAUGCCGCGUGCAGGAAGACUGCCCUAUGGGUUGUAAACUGCUUUUAUACAGGAAGAAACCGCUCUACGUGUAGAGCUCUGACGGUACUGUAAGAAUAAGGAUCGGCUAACUCCG
rnacentral:rRNA from 1 species